CCCACUUAAAUGAAUCGUAAAUAGUCAAUUAGAACAAUGGCAAAAAUCGUAAAUAGAGAGUGGUAAAUUUUGAUAAGUGCUGAGGGUGGAAAGGUCUUUUGAAAAAAAAAAAAUUCCACUAACAAUCAGACUUGCGCUUCCCGUGUAAGCCAUCAAAGAACCAUUUUUCUUUGGGAGUUUUCUAGAACAAGUGAGACGGUGAGUGGUGGAUGAUGGGUGGCUUGGGUAGUGAGUCCGGCUGGGUCAAAAUAGUUUGAAGCUUAUGAUUGUUGUGUCUACAGCUGGGUUUUCUCUUGUGAAGUGUUGGAAGGACGAUUUGUAGUACAAGGGUGUGAGAAACUCUUUAAGGUAAGACUUUGAUCUUUUGAUUUAAAUUUCUGGGUGAAGUAAAUGGUUCUUGAUGGAGAUGUCCCUUGCUUGUGAUGUUGUGAUUACUAAGAAUAGAGACUAGGGCCAUGCUCAAGAAUGUUCUUGAAGGGAAAUUGAAGACUUACGUUUACGAAGAUAUAUGAGCUGCUGGAAUUUUUGUUGAAGUUGGAAAUUUGGUGGAAAUACACAGGUGAAUCAGGUGAAUAAAAAAAAAAUCAUCAUCAAGGAGGCAAGGAAAGUAAUAAAGCUUUCAAGGGUGACUAGUUGACCGGUGAACUACGCGACUACUGGAGGAAUUAGAUAGUGUUUUAAUUGCUAAUACCAGAUAUAGUUGAUCCAGUAGAGCCAGAUCUUCCUACAGCCAGAUAGACUUUCAACCUCCUUAUUCUGGUGAGCCCAGCACUUAUAGUGCGGGUGUGAUUAAGUAUUAUUUUGGACUCAUGUAUCACCGUAUUUUAUCGACUCUAGAUGCUCCGUUAACUACAGAUAAGGUAUAAUGAUAUGUAAGGCUAUGGGCCAGACUGUGUUGUAGGUAUUUUCAUAUCACGUAUGUUUUGUUUAUUUGAUUAUAUUAGUGCCAAACCACCUGUUCAGAGGCU